rnacentral:rRNA from 1 species
GAUGAACGCCGACAGAAUGCUUAACACAUGCAAGUCUUUGGCGAAGCUGUGCUUGCACAGCCUAGCCAAGGCGGACGGGUGAGUAACGCGUAAGGAACUUGCCCUGCAGUCAGGGAUAACAGACGGAAACGACUGAUAAGACCUGGUAAAGUCAGGCGGACUCAUGUCCAGCCUGAUGAAAAGAGAUGCUGCAGGAGAGCCUUGCGUCCUAUUAGCUUGUUGGUGGGGUAACGGCCCACCAAGGCGAUGAUAGGUAGCCGGCCUGAGAGGGUGGACGGCCACAAGGGGACUGAGAUACGGCCCUUACUCCUACGGGGGGCAGCAGUGGGGAAUAUUGGACAAUGGGGGCAACCCUGAUCCAGCAAUUCUGUGUGCACGAUGAAGGUUUUCGGAUUGUAAAGUGCUUUCAGCAGGGAAGAAAAAAAUGACGGUACCUGCAGAAGAAGCGACGGCUAAAUACGUG